GUUGUAUGGUUAAGUGACUAAGCGUACACGGUGGAUGCCUUGGCAGUCAGAGGCGAUGAAAGACGUAGUAACUUGCGAUAAGCCCAGAUUAGGUAGUAACAACCAUUUGAGUCUGGGAUUUCUGAAUGGGGAAACCCACGUGCAUAAGCACGUAUCCUUACCUGAAUACAUAGGGUAAGGAGGCGAACCGGGGGAACUGAAACAUCUAAGUACCCCGAGGAAAAGAAAUCAACCGAGAUUCCGAAAGUAGCGGCGAGCGAAAUUGGACUAGCCCUUAAGCUUUACACGCGUUAGACGAACGGUCUGGAAAGUCCGACGAUACAGGGUGAUAGUCCCGUAGUUGACGACGUGUGUUCAGUGAAAUCGAGUAGGGCGGGACACGUGAUAUCCUGUCUGAAUAUGGGGGGACCAUCCUCCAAGGCUAAAUACUACUGACUGACCGAUAGUGAACCAGUACCGUGAGGGAAAGGCGAAAAGAACCCCUGUGAGGGGAGUGAAAUAGAACCUGAAACCGUGUACGUACAAGCAGUAGGAGCAGGCUUUGUCCUGUGACUGCGUACCUUUUGUAUAAUGGGUCAGCGACUUAUAUUCAGUGGCAAGGUUAACCAUCUAGGGGAGCCGUAGGGAAACCGAGUCUUAACUGGGCGUUCAGUCUCUGGAUAUAGACCCGAAACCAGGUGAUCUAGCCAUGGGCAGGUUGAAGGUUGAGUAACAUCAACUGGAGGACCGAACCGACUAAUGUUGAAAAAUUAGCGGAUGACUUGUGGCUAGGGGUGAAAGGCCAAUCAAACCUGGAGAUAGCUGGUUCUCCCCGAAAGCUAUUUAGGUAGCGCCUCGGACGAAUACUACUGGGGGUAGAGCACUGUUAAGGCUAGGGGGUCAUCCCGACUUACCAACCCUUUGCAAACUCCGAAUACCAGUAAGUACUAUCCGGGAGACACACGGCGGGUGCUAACGUCCGUCGUGGAGAGGGAAACAACCCAGACCGCCAGCUAAGGUCCCAAAUUACUACUAAGUGGGAAACGAUGUGGGAAGGCUCAGACAGCCAGGAUGUUGGCUUAGAAGCAGCCAUCAUUUAAAGAAAGCGUAAUAGCUCACUGGUCGAGUCGGCCUGCGCGGAAGAUGUAACGGGGCUAAGUAGUAAACCGAAGCUGCGGCAAUGUGCUUUUGCACAUUGGGUAGGGGAGCGUUCUGUAAGCGGUUGAAGGUGUGUGGUAACGCAUGCUGGACGUAUCAGAAGUGCGAAUGCUGACAUGAGUAACGAUAAAGGGGGUGAAAAACCUCCUCGCCGGAAGACCAAGGGUUCCUGUCCAACGUUAAUCGGGGCAGGGUAAGUCGACCCCUAAGGCGAGGCCGAAAGGCGUAGUCGAUGGGAAACGGGUUAAUAUUCCCGUACUUCUUACAAUUGCGAUGGGGGGACGGAGAAGGCUAGGUGGGCCUGGCGACGGUUGUCCAGGUUCAAGUGCGUAGGCUUGAGAGUUAGGUAAAUCCGGCUCUUUUUAAGGCUGAGACACGACGUCGAGCCACUACGGUGGUGAAGUCAUUGAUGCCAUGCUUCCAGGAAAAGCCUCUAAGCUUCAGAUUGUAAGGAAUCGUACCCCAAACCGACACAGGUGGUCGGGUAGAGAAUACCAAGGCGCUUGAGAGAACUCGGGUGAAGGAACUAGGCAAAAUGGUACCGUAACUUCGGGAGAAGGUACGCUCUCGACGGUGAAGUCCCUCGCGGAUGGAGCUAUUGAGAGUCGCAGAUACCAGGUGGCUGCAACUGUUUAUUAAAAACACAGCACUGUGCAAAAUCGUAAGAUGACGUAUACGGUGUGACGCCUGCCCGGUGCCGGAAGGUUAAUUGAUGGGGUUAGACUUCGGUCGAAGCUCUUGAUCGAAGCCCCGGUAAACGGCGGCCGUAACUAUAACGGUCCUAAGGUAGCGAAAUUCCUUGUCGGGUAAGUUCCGACCUGCACGAAUGGCGUAAUGAUGGCCACGCUGUCUCCACCCGAGACUCAGUGAAAUUGAAAUCGCUGUGAAGAUGCAGUGUACCCGCGGCUAGACGGAAAGACCCCGUGAACCUUUACUACAGCUUGGCACUGAACAUUGACCCUACAUGUGUAGGAUAGGUGGGAGGCUUUGAAGCACGUACGCCAGUAUGUGUGGAGCCGUCCUUGAAAUACCACCCUUGUAGUGUUGAUGUUCUAACGUCGACCCCUUAUCGGGGUUGCGGACAGUGCCUGGUGGGUAGUUUGACUGGGGCGGUCUCCUCCCAAAGAGUAACGGAGGAGCACGAAGGUGGGCUAAUCACGGUUGGACAUCGUGAGGUUAGUGCAAUGGCAUAAGCCCGCUUGACUGCGAGAAUGACAAUUCGAGCAGGUGCGAAAGCAGGUCAUAGUGAUCCGGUGGUUCUGAAUGGAAGGGCCAUCGCUCAACGGAUAAAAGGUACUCCGGGGAUAACAGGCUGAUACCGCCCAAGAGUUCAUAUCGACGGCGGUGUUUGGCACCUCGAUGUCGGCUCAUCACAUCCUGGGGCUGAAGUCGGUCCCAAGGGUAUGGCUGUUCGCCAUUUAAAGUGGUACGCGAGCUGGGUUUAGAACGUCGUGAGACAGUUCGGUCCCUAUCUGCCGUGGGCGUUGGAAGAUUGAAGGGGGCUGCUCCUAGUACGAGAGGACCGGAGUGGACGAACCUCUGGUGUUCGGGUUGUGUCGCCAGACGCAUUGCCCGGUAGCUAAGUUCGGAAUCGAUAACCGCUGAAAGCAUCUAAGCGGGAAGCGAGCCCUGAGAUGAGUCUUCCCUGAUACUUUAAGUAUCCUAAAGGGUUGUCGGAGACUACGACGUUGAUAGGUCAGGUGUGUAAGUGCUGUGAGGCAUUGAGCUAACUGAUACUAAUUGCCCGUGAGGCUUAACCAUACAACACCCAAGGGGUUU
rnacentral:rRNA from 1 species